rnacentral:lncRNA from 1 species
UUUUGGCAUAUUCCUACUUGGACUGGUUGGACUGUUUAGUCCUAGAUGUUAAAGAAGACGGUCAUGGUGGCUAUGGAGUCUUAUAAUGUGACGUUGAAGUACAGAGAGGUAGAAGAGGAUGAAAAGCUAAAAUCUAAGCAAACAAAUAAAAAAUAAUUAUAGUGUAUAAAGUUGAACCGAUAACAAGUAAAAGGAAUUAGAAAGUGGAUGACAUAUCAAUUUAUUAUUGGAGUGUGUUAGAGGAUGUGUCACCGGCAUUUCUCUUCUUAAUAAUGCCAACAUAUUGUAGUAGCAAGCACAAAUAAACAACUCUUACAAAUAUAUAGGAGUUGGAAUCAUUCUCACUUUAAGUGCAACAAAAAUUAAAAUCAUACACAUCCAAACAUAAUCAUUGUCAUUGAUCCUCAAUGGUAGUCCAUCCUAGAGUUUGUCAAGACG